UUUACAAUGUGCGAAAGCAUGAUAAGGGAACUCCGAGUGCCAGUAUCUAAUACUGGCUGUCUUGUGCUAAAACGCACAAGAUAGCAAGGGCCGGGUAAGACCGGUGCCAGCCGCCGCGGUAACACCGGGCGGCCCGAGUGGUAGCCGCUAUUAUUGGGUCUAAAGGGUCUGUAGCCGGUUCGAUAAGUCCUCUGGGAAAUCUGGUUGCUUAACAAUCAGACUGCCAAGGGAUACUGUCGAACUUGAGACCGGGAGAGGUAAGAGGUACUUCAGGGGUAGGAGUGAAAUCUUGUAAUCCCUGGGGGACCAUCUGUGGCGAAGGCGUCUUACCAGAACGGGUCUGACGGUGAGGGACGAAAGCUGGGGGCGCAAACCGGAUUAGAUACCCGGGUAGUCCCAGCCGUAAACGAUGCUCGCUAUGUGUCAGGUACGGUGUGACCGUAUCUGGUGCCGUAGGGAAGCCGUGAAGCGAGCCACCUGGGAAGUACGGUCGCAAGACUGAAACUUAAAGGAAUUGGCGGGGGAGCACUACAACGGGUGGAGCCUGCGGUUUAAUUGGAUUCAACGCCGGAAAUCUUACCGGGGGAGACAGCAGCAUGAAGGUCAGGCUGAAGACCUUACCAGAUCCGCUGAGAGGAAGUGCAUGGCCGUCGUCAGUUCGUACUGUGAAGCAUCCUGUUAAGUCAGGCAACGAGCGAGACCCGUGCCCACAGUUGCCAGCAUACCCUUCGGGGUGAUGGGUACUUUGUGGGGACCGCCGCUGCUAAAGCGGAGGAAGGAGCGGGUUACGGUAGGUCAGUAUGCUCCGAAACUCCCGGGCUACACGCGGGCUACAAUGGUUGGGACAAUGGGAAUCAACACCGAAAGGUGAAGGCAAUCUCCUAAACCCAAUCGAAGUCCGGAUUGAGGGCUGCAACUCGCCCUCAUGAAGCUGGAAUCCGUAGUAAUCGCGUUUCAACACAGCGCGGUGAAUACGUCCCUGCUCCUUGCACACACCGCCCGUCAGACCAUCUGAGUGAGGUUUGGAUGAGGGUCUUCCUUAUGGGGGAUCG
rnacentral:rRNA from 1 species